rnacentral:rRNA from 1 species
UGGGUAACCUGCCUGUAAGACUGGGAUAACUCCGGGAAACCGGGGCUAAUACCGGAUGCUUGAUUGAACCGCAUGGUUCAAUCAUGAAAGGCGGCUUCGGCUGCCGUUUACAGAUGGACCCGCGGCGCAUUAGCUAGUUGGUGAGGUAACGGCUCACCAAGGCGACGAUGCGUAGCCGACCUGAGAGGGUGAUCGGCCACACUGGGACUGAGACACGGCCCAGACUCCUACGGGAGGCAGCAGUAGGGAAUCUUCCGCAAUGGACGAGAGUCUGACGGAGCAACGCCGCGUGAGUGAUG